rnacentral:rRNA from 1 species
UAGGGAAUCUUCGGCAAUGGGGGCAACCCCGACCGAGCAACGCCGCGUGAGUGAAGAAGGUCUUCGGAUCGUAAAACUCUGUUGUUAGAGAAGAACACGAGUGAGAGUAACUGUUCAUUCGAUGACGGUAUCUAACCAGCAAGUCACGGCUAACUACGUGCCAA